rnacentral:tRNA from 1 species
GUUUCUGUAGUGUAGUGUAGUGGUUAUCACAUUCACCUCACACGCAAAAGGUCCCUGGUUUGAAACCAGGCAGAAACA